GACGAACGCUGGCGGCGUGCCUAACACAUGCAAGUCGAACGGUGAAGCGCCUUCCUUUUUGGUGGGUGUGGAUGAGUGGCGAACGGGUGAGUAACACGUGAGUAACCUGCCCCCUUCUUCUGGAUAACCGCAUGAAAGUGUGGCUAAUACGGGAUAUUCUGGGUCUGUCGCAUGAUGGGUCUGGGAAAGAUAUGGUUUCGGUGGGGGAUGGGCUCGCGGCCGAUCAGCUUGUUGGUGAGGUGAUGGCCUACCAAGGCGGCGACGGGUAGCCGGCCUGAGAGGGUGAUCGGCCACACUGGAACUGAGACACGGCCCAGACUCCUACGGGAGGCAGCAGUAGGGAAUCUUACGCAAAGGGCGGAAGCCUGAUGGAGCAACGACGCGUGAGUGAUGAAGGUCGUCGUAUCGUAAAACUCUGUUAUUAGGGAAGAACAAAUGUUGAAGUAACUAUGCACGUCUUGACGGUACCUAAUCAGAAAGCCACGGCUAACUACGUG
rnacentral:rRNA from 1 species